UACAGAGGUCUCAAGCGUUGUUCGGAUUCAUUGGGCGUAAAGGAUGCGUAGGCGGCGAGGUAAGUCAGAUGUGAAAUCCCGGGGCUUAACCCCGGAACUGCAUUUGAUACUGCUUUGCUUGAGGACUGGAGAGGAGAUCGGAAUUCACGGUGUAGCAGUGAAAUGCGUAGAUAUCGAGAGGAACACCAGUGGCGAAGGCGAGUCCCUGGACAGGUCCUGACGCUGAGGCACGAAAGCUAGGGGAGCAAACAGG
rnacentral:rRNA from 1 species